GGGGAAUUUUCCGCAAUGGGCGAAAGCCUGACGGAGCAAUACCGCGUGAGGGAUGAAGGCCUAUGGGUUGUAAACCUCUUUUUUCAGGGAGGAAUCAAUGACGUGUACUUGAAGAAUAAGCAUCGGCUAACUCCGUGCCAGCAGCCGCGGUAAGACGGAGGAUGCAAGUGUUAUCCGGAAUCACUGGGCGUAAAGCGUCUGUAGGUGGUUUAAUAAGUCAACUGUUAAAUCUUGAGGCUCAACCUCAAAAUCGCAGUCGAAACUAUUAGACUAGAGUAUAGUAGGGGUAAAGGGAAUUUCCAGUGGAGCGGUGAAAUGCGUAGAUAUUGGAAGGAACACCGAUGGCGAAAGCACUUUACUGGGCUAUUACUAACACUCAGAGACGAAAGCUAGGGUAGCAAAUGGGAUUAGAUACCCCAGUAGUC
rnacentral:rRNA from 1 species